CCUACGGGAGGCAGCAGUCGAGAAUCAUUCACAAUGGGGGAAACCCUGAUGGUGCGACGCCGCGUGGGGGAAUGAAGGCCUUCGGAUUGUAAACCCCUGUCAUGUGGGAGCAAAUUAAAAAGAUAGUACCACAAGAGGAAGAGACGGCUAACUCUGUGACAGCAGCCGCGGUAAUACAGAGGUCCCAACCGUUGUUCGGAAGCGCUGGGCGUAAAGCGUGCGUGGGCUGUUUCUUACGUCGUGUUUGAAAGGCGCGGCCUCAACCCGCGGCCGGCACAUGACACUGCGAGACUAGAGUAAUGGAGGGGGAACCGGAAUUCUCGGUGUAGCAGUGAAAUGCGUAGAUAUCGAGAGGAACACUCGUGGCGAAGGCGGGUUCCUGGACAUUAACUGACGCUGAGGCACGAAGGCCAGGGGAGCGAAAGGGAUUAGAUACCCUAGUAGUC
rnacentral:rRNA from 1 species